GAAACAACACGAGGGGGGAAACUCGCAGAGAGAAAAAUGUGUGUAGAUAAAUGCUAGGUAGAAAUUGAUAGACAUUGUAGUAGUACUUUUAAUGUUCCUCGUUUUAAUUCAACAGUUUAUUUAUAUAUCGCUAUAACGUUAUGUCUCGCGGUCGUUUUUAUUUCUAAUGUGCAGUUAAAAAAGAAACGAUACGUCCGGUUUGUGGAUCAAUCAUUAUGAUUGAUUACAGAGAGCGGAAUACUGUUCCUUUAGCUGAUAUCUUCUUCUAUCAGGGUGAAGAGCGAGAGAUGACAAUACACUGCUUGUGCUCCAGAGCUUACGUCAAAUCUGAAGUAGUAAAGAUAGUGAGCCCUCACUGUGUAACACUGACUACUAAGUUUACAUGCGAUCGAGAAUUGUAUCGGUCAGAUUUGAAAGCCAUACUGAAUCAGACAGACAGUCAAUUGCAAGUAGAUUUUGAAGCUAAUGAUGGGGAAGAGCUUUUGGAGGACCUUAACUGUUCUGUGGAUGAGGAGGAUGAGGAAGAAGAGGCGGUUGCUGAUGAAGAGACCAUGCUAAUGGCCAGUUUGGGGCUUCCUGUGGAGUUUGUCAGCUCAUCGAAACAGAGGAAAGCUGGCCAAGUUUUAGCAAGAGCGAAGAACAAAAGUACCAUCAAUUGUUUGGAAGCCCCCUCAGAUGAUGACUAUGAAGAGAAACAGCAGUGUGCUGUGAAUGAGAUCGCUGAGACCCCCGCCGAACAGCCGUGUUCCGCGUCAGAAGAGGCCUGGCUGAGCUACUGGCAGCAGCAUGGGGAGGGUCUGCUGUGGCAGAGCUGGCUGGAGAAACAACCUAAUAUCUCCUGCAGUUCGACACAGGACUGUUCCCGCUCAGAAGCAGACUGGGCCGAGCACUACCAUCAAACAUACCAGUACUACUGGGAGCAGUUUCACUACUGGGCCGCCCAGGGUUGGACAGUGGAUGAGACCUACAGCACCAUUGCUGCUUCCGAGGAAAACCAGGGCAGCCAAGGAGAAACAGAGGCACUCGAGAAUCUGACAGAAGAAAGGUCAAAGGCAGACGUUACCCAUCUCAUAAGCAGUCUGAGCUUAUUGACUGAGGAAGUUGACGGGGAGAAAGGCGACCAGCAGUCUCUGGUCUGUAACUGCGCUGAUGAGCCCUGUGAUGGCGGAAACCGCAAAAGGCCAUCAUCACAUACAGCCUGCACUGACAGUUCUGAUGGCAACAUGAAACAGACCUCUGCACCAUUGAGUAAUUGGAGUGGACAGCCCGUAAAGAGCAGAUCAAACGAUGAAGAUCAGAGCGAUGAUGAUGAUGAACCUCCAGAGAACAGACGAGCCAAAGUGAAGAGAGCUCAUGAGCUGGAUGUUGAGGAGCUUGCGGAGGUGCCAGUUGAGGAGGCGUGGGAUGCCCUCGGUCUGAGACGUGGUCCACAGCCCAAGUUUGACAGUGUUGUGAAGCUGAAACAAGGCCAAGCUCCAUACCCUGGCAGAAGGAGUGAGGAGAACAGAAAGCCUCCUGACGGAAGAAAAAAAGCAGCCUGCAAAAUCAACAAGCACAUCUUCUUUACUGAUGAUGGACCACAAACCACAAAGCCAAAGAUCAGCAAAGUCCUUCAAAAAGUCCAGAGUUUCCUUCAGCAGGUUCAGACUGACCCUGACUCUGAGGAGGUGACUCCAACCUCCAUGCCUGAAGCCCUGACUGAGCCAUGUGAGGGAGCAGAAGAUGGAAGUCUACUUACGCGAAAGGAAGACAGGGAAAAAACUGAUGAAACGGAGUUUGAGGAGACACCUCAGCUCAGCAGAAGAUGUAAACAAAGUGAGAAACUUCAGCAGAACAUUCAGCCUGAGCCAGAAGAUAGACAGGACAGUGAUUCCGAUCCUCGAGGAGAGCUGCAGCCCUUAGACGUCCCUGACUUCUUACUCCCCGAUGCUCCUGAGGGCGCUGAGGGAGAGAGCGUGCAAGCCUCUAAAAAGAACAAGAGAAGGAACCGGAAAAGGAGAAAGGAUGUGGAGAUGCCACCUGAGAUUGCAGCAGAACCUGAGCUGGCCAAGUACUGGGCACAACGCUACCGUCUGUUUUCCAGGUUCGAUGAGGGCAUCAGACUAGAUCAUGAGGGCUGGUUCUCAGUGACCCCUGAGAAGAUUGCAGAGCACAUUGCUCUGAGAGUGCAGGACAGCUUCAGCACAGAGCUCAUUAUCGAUGCCUUCUGUGGUGUGGGUGGCAAUACCAUUCAGUUUGCCCUCACUGGUAAAAGAGUGAUCGCCAUCGACAUCGACCCCGUACGGCUGGCUCUGGCACAGCACAAUGCAGAAGUGUACGGUGUGGCGCAGCAGAUAGAGUUUGUGCAGGGAGACUUCCUGCAGUUGGCUCCGCGCCUGCGAGGAGACAUGGUUUUCCUCAGUCCCCCGUGGGGAGGACCAGAGUACCUCAGUGCUGACGUCUUCAACAUCAAGACCAUGAUGACUCCAGAUGGAUAUCCUUUGUCUUUCACUCUAGGCAGUGCCUCUCUUUUCAAAUGAGGUUUUCAUUAGAAUUUGGAAGAGAAGGUUCAGAUUUGUCCUUUCACCUCACUCCUCUUUGUGGAAGUUAUGAUAUACUUUCUAAUGUAUGUGUUCAAUGUGCUUCAAACUCCUUAUUCCUGCUUCCUUAACUAUCUAUACAGUUGAAAUUUUCAGGUUGUCAAAAAUGAUUUCAGACAAUAUUGUCUAUUUUCUUCCUCGAAACACAGACAUGGAACAGAUCGCGGCGCUCGCCGGCCCAGGUGGGAAGGUGGAAGUGGAGCAGAACUUUCUGAACAACAAACUGAAAACAAUUACUGCAUACUUUGGCAAUUUAAUACAGUCAAAAACAUAAAACCUUUUAUUUUGACCUUUGACAGUCAUUUAUGUUAGUUGUACUUACUGCACUUAAAUUGUACUGGCAAACAUUAUCUGUUUUGUAAAGCCAUUGAAUGAUUUUACAUAAAAUGUAAAUUUUAUGUGUUUUUGUGAUGCUGCUAGUAUAAUGUUUAACAUAGAACCUUUUUUUUUCAGUGUUGAUAUUUACCU